AGAGGAGGGAUCCAAAGGGAUCGCAUUGAUCCUUUAUUUUUAUUUUUAAAAAAAUUUUACCCUAAUUUUGGAUCAUGCUAUCCCUUUGGAUUCCUCCUU
rfam:Gossypium hirsutum cultivar TM-1 chromosome 24, whole genome shotgun sequence